GGUUGAUGUUUAUAUUCGGUAUUUGCAGAGCGAAGUUGGCUCUGUUUAUUCGAAAUCAAUUAAUUAACUAGAUUAUUUGUUAUCUAUAUUUGUUUUAAACGGUUUUGUGGUAAGAAACGAAUUGUAAGAUAUCAUCAGCAAAAUUCGCAAGAUUGUCCCAUUUCUCGCUAACAGAAUUUGUGUCCUAGAUGACUUGACUUGCUUUGAAAAAGCAUCAACAGCAUAUAAAAAUAAAAUUUUAGUAGUAAUCGUUAAUCAUUAAUUAAACUAUCUGCGAGUCGUUUAAGUGUAAUUAUAAUAUGGAGAAGACAAAGGUUUUGCUGUUGGUCUACUUGUUCUGUAUCACAGUUAAUCCAACCGUUACCGAUAUAAUCCCUGCACUAAAGCUUUUCAUCUAUUAUAGACGAUGUACUGAUGCAGAAGUACUUGGGAUUUGCAGACAGACUUGCUUGCGGUCAGAUAAACCGAAGUGCAAGCUCGUAGAUCCACCUUGUCUUUGUCCUCCUCGGUAUAAAACAAAGCGACCAAGAACAUGAGAAAAUGUUUUUGUUCAAGUCGAAUACACAACGUUGUGUAACGACGAAUACCGAAUAAAUAUCAUUUUGUGAUAAA